CUUGGUCAUUUAGAGGAAGUAAAAGUCGUAACAAGGUCUCCGUAGGUGAACCUGCGGAGGGAUCAUUAAUGAGGAAACUCGGAGCGAUCCGAGGGGCCUCCCGGGCCGCCUCGCGCGGCCCCGGGGCGCCCGUCUUCACAACCCUUUGUCGAACGUACUCGUUGCCUCGGGGGCCUCACCGCCCCCGACGGACACCCUUCAAACACUGCAUCCCUGCGUCGGAGUAUUGAAACAAAAUCAAUCAAAACUUUCAACAACGGAUCUCUUGGUUCUGGCAUCGAUGAAGAACGCAGCGAAAUGCGAUAAGUAAUGUGAAUUGCAGAAUUCAGUGAAUCAUCGAAUCUUUGAACGCACAUUGCGCCCCUUGGCAUUCCGAGGGGCAUGCCUGUUCGAGCGUCAUUACAACCCUCAAGCACUGCUUGGUAUUGGGCUCCGCUGGUUUCAGCGGGCCUUAAAAUCAGUGGCAGCGCCGUCUGAGCUCUGAGCGUAGUAAAUACCCUCGCUAUAGAGACCAGGUGGCUCUCGUCAUCAACCCCCAACUUUCUAAGUUUGACCUCGGAUCAGGUAGGGAUACCCGCUGAACUUAAGCAUAUCAAUAAGCGGAGGA
rnacentral:rRNA from 1 species